UGGUUCAUGACUGGGGUGAAGUCGUAACAAGGUAGCCGUAGGGGAACCUGCGGCUGGAUCACCUCCUUAACGA
rnacentral:rRNA from 1 species